GCAGGAAAGAUCAUCAGGUUGAGAAAGGCCCAUUCAUCAUAGUGUCCCAUGCUAGAGCAAGCUGCGGCCCCGAACCAUUGCCUGGCCUCUGCCUGUAGGCUACUGGCACUGGAGUGGGUCGCACAGUA